GUUUGGCAGCUGUUUCCAUCAUGUUCAUUCUGUUACUUGUCUUUUUUGUGUGUAAACUGAGGAACAACAGAACCAAGACCAAGAGAAGCCCCUCAGAUGAACGUGAUACAGGAGGAAGGGAGAAUCCCUCUGGAGAAGAAAUGAAGCCUUUGAAGGGAGAAGAGGAAAAGAAGAGCAAACAUGCAACCGACUCUGCAUGGGUAUGUAUGAAA